rnacentral:rRNA from 1 species
UACGGGGGGAGCAAGCGUUGUUCGGAUUUACUGGGCGUAAAGGGCGCGUAGGCGGCCUACUAAGUCAGACGUGAAAUCCCCCGGCUUAACCUGGGAACUGCGUCUGAUACUGGAAGGCUUGAGUAUGGGAGAGGGAUGUAGAAUUCCAGGUGUAGCGGUGAAAUGCGUAGAUAUCUGGAGGAAUACCGGUGGCGAAGGCGGCAUCCUGGACCAACACUGACGCUGAGGAGCGAAAGCCAGGGGAGCAAACGGG